CAAACACUCUGCAUUCAUUAUAUACACACACACUACACAAACACUCUGCAUUCAUUAUAUACACACACACUACACAAACACUCUGCAUUCAUUAUAUACACACACACUACACAAACACUCUGCAUUCAUUAUAUACACACACACACUACACAAACACACUGCAUUCACUUAACGCACUACAUUCACUAUAUAUACACACUACACAAACACACAC